UUACGGGAGGCAGCAGUAGGGAAUUUUGGGCAAUGGGCGAAAGCCUGACCCAGCAACGCCGCGUGAAGGAUGAAGUAUUUCGGUAUGUAAACUUCGAAAGAAUGGGAAGAAUAAAUGACGGUACCAUUUAUAAGCUCCGGCUAACUACGUGCCAGCAGCCGCGGUAAUACGUAGGGAGCAAGCGUUGUUCGGAUUUACUGGGCGUAAAGGGCGCGUAGGCGGCGUGGUAAGUCACUUGUGAAAUCUCUGAGCUUAACUCAGAACGGCCAAGUGAUACUGCUGUGCUAGAGUGCAGAAGGGGCAAUCGGAAUUCUUGGUGUAGCGGUGAAAUGCGUAGAUAUCAAGAGGAACACCUGAGGUGAAGACGGGUUGCUGGGCUGACACUGACGCUGAGGCGCGAAAGCCAGGGGAGCAAACGGGAUUAGAUACCCGGGUAGUCCU
rnacentral:rRNA from 1 species